rnacentral:rRNA from 1 species
CGAAUGCUGACAUAAGUAACGAUAAAGCGGGUGAAAAGCCCGCUCGCCGGAAGACCAAGGGUUCCUGUCCAACGUUAAUCGGGGCAGGGUGAGUCGACCCCUAAGGCGAGGCCGAAAGGCGUAGUCGAUGGGAAACAGGUUAAUAUUCCUGUACUUGGUGUUACUGCGAAGGGGGGACGGAGAAGGCUAUGUUGGCCGGGCGACGGUUGUCCCGGUUUAAGCGUGUAGGCUGGUUUUCCAGGCAAAUCCGGAAAAUCAAGGCUGAGGCGUGAUGACGAGGCACUACGGUGCUGAAGCAACAAAUGCCCUGCUUCCAGGAAAAGCCUCUAAGCAUCAGGUAACAUCAAAUCGUACCCCAAACCGACACAGGUGGUCAGGUAGAGAAUACCAAGGCGCUUGAGAGAACUCGGGUGAAGGAACUAGGCAAAAUGGUGCCGUAACUUCGGGAGAAGGCACGCUGAUAUGUAGGUGAAGUCCCUCGCGGAUGGAGCUGAAAUCAGUCGAAGAUACCAGCUGGCUGCAACUGUUUAUUAAAAACACAGCACUGUGCAAACACGAAAGUGGACGUAUACGGUGUGACGCCUGCCCGGUGCCGGAAGGUUAAUUGAUGGGGUCAGCGCAAGCGAAGCUCUUGAUCGAAGCCCCGGUAAACGGCGGCCGUAACUAUAACGGUCCUAAGGUAGCGAAAUUCCUUGUCGGGUAAGUUCCGACCUGCACGAAUGGCGUAAUGAUGGCCAGGCUGUCUCCACCCGAGACUCAGUGAAAUUGAACUCGCUGUGAAGAUGCAGUGUACCCGCGGCAAGACGGAAAGACCCCGUGAACCUUUACUAUAGCUUGACACUGAACAUUGAGCCUUGAUGUGUAGGAUAGGUGGGAGGCUUUGAAGUGUGGACGCCAGUCUGCAUGGAGCCGACCUUGAAAUACCACCCUUUAAUGUUUGAUGUUCUAACGUGGACCCGUGAUCCGGGUUGCGGACAGUGUCUGGUGGGUAGUUUGACUGGGGCGGUCUCCUCCUAAAGAGUAACGGAGGAGCACGAAGGUUGGCUAAUCCUGGUCGGACAUCAGGAGGUUAGUGCAAUGGCAUAAGCCAGCUUGACUGCGAGCGUGACGGCGCGAGCAGGUGCGAAAGCAGGUCAUAGUGAUCCGGUGGUUCUGAAUGGAAGGGCCAUCGCUCAACGGAUAAAAGGUACUCCGGGGAUAACAGGCUGAUACCGCCCAAGAGUUCAUAUCGACGGCGGUGUUUGGCACCUCGAUGUCGGCUCAUCA